rnacentral:rRNA from 1 species
AGUGAACGCUGGCGGCAGGCCUAACACAUGCAAGUCGAACGGCAGCACAGUAAGAGCUUGCUCUUACGGGUGGCGAGUGGCGGACGGGUGAGGUAUACAUCGGAACCUACUUUUUCGUGGGGGAUAACGUAGGGAGACUUACGCUAAUACAGCAUACGCCCUACGGGUGAAAGCAGGGGAUCUUCGGACCUUGCGCGAUUGAAUGAGCCGAUGUCGGAUUAGCUAGUUGGCGGGGUAAUGGCCCACCAAGGCGACGAUCCGUAGCUGGUCUGAGAGGAUGGUCAGCCGCACUGGAAGUGGGACACGGUCCAUGCGCCUGAGGGAGGGAGCAGUGUGGAAUGGGAGACAAUGGUCGCGAAUCUUGCCCAAUGGGACCACGUCUGUUGAGAAGGCGUCGGGUUUGGAAAGCCCGUUUUUUGGGAGUGAAAAGCAGCAGGUUAUUACCCCGCGUGACUGACGGUACCGAAUGAAGAAGCACCGGCUAACUUCGUG